rnacentral:rRNA from 1 species
GACGAACGCUGGCGGCGUGCCUAAUACAUGCAAGUCGAACGAGUGGCGGACGGGUGAGUAAUGUCUGGGAAACUGCCCGAUGGAGGGGGAUAACUACGGGAAACGGUAGCUAAUACCGCAUACCAUCGGAUGUGCACAGAUGGGAGUAGCUAGUAGGUGGGGUAACGGCGAACCUAGGCGACGAUCCCUAGCUGGUCUGAGAUGAUGACCAGCCACACUGGAACUUAGACACGGUCCAGACUCCUACGGGAGGCAGCAGUGGGGAAUAUUGCACAAUGGGCGCAAGCCUGAUACAGCCAUGCCGCGUGUAUGAAGAAGGCCUUCGGGUUGUAAAGUACUUUCAGCGAGGAGGCGUUACUCGCAGAAGAAGCACCGGCUAACUCCGUGCCAGCAGCCGCGGUAAUUC